UAGGCGUGAAAACUCCAGAAAGGUUUCAUCAUCUGCAAGACCUGGUUGGCUAAUUAAUUCCUGGCUGUUGCUGGGGGUUUCCCUGGGUUGCCAUAUUGAUCAAAAUGUGUCUUAUUUGAAAGGAGUGGAGCCAAGAAUGAGGACUGUAGUUUGAAGAGGAAAGGGCGGGUCAAGAGCCUGACUGACCUGGAGCUGGCCCUGUCAAGCAGAGAAUGCUGAAGAGCCCCCCCCCUGUUGAAUGUCACCUGCUUAUGCCACAUGCCCUGUCAUGUGUUCUCUAAACUAGCCUGUUGCCUCAGAAGUGGCGAAGGACCCUAUCCAGUCACUAACACUGAAGUAAAAUCCAGUCAGCUUCUGCACAUGGAAAGGGGAAUGAUACCAUAUUUUCCACAGGUGGCAAAAUGUCUUCAGCCAGCCCUGACCACCUUGUCUUGUACCAACCUGGCUGGUGCCUCAGAUCUGGUAAAGAGGCCCAUUAUGUCUAGGUUUAUUACUUCUGCUUAUAAGUGUUUGGGAAAAAAUGAACUUCAGGAAAAACUUCCUAACCGUUAGAGCGGUAUGACAAUGAAACUAAAUUAUCUAGGGAGGUGGUGGGCUCUCCCACACUGGAGGCAAUCAAGAGGCAGCUGGACAGCCACCUGUUGGGUAUGCUUUCAUUUGGAUUCCUGCACUGAGCAGAGGAUUGGACUCAAUGGCCUUAUCCAACUCUAUGAUUCAAUGAUUCCAUGAUUCUAUGAACGUGAUUCUGAAGGAAUGGACAAAUAAGUCAUCUCCAG